AAGGCAGGGAGGCUGGACCCACGUGGAGCCUGCUCCUCACUGACGGAAGAGGGAAUGGGGUGGUCUCAGGUCUCGGGUGGUGGCCUACCCCUCUCUGGCCUCCGUGGCCCCUCCUGGGACAGAUCGCCCCCCAUCUCUCAAAGGCCUGGGCCUGUCUCCACUUCGGUAAAAGGAGGGGCUUCUGAUCCCACCCACCAGCUGGGGGGCACUUGGGUCCACUGGUCUCCAGAGGCCGCCCCUCCAGCCACUACUCUCCCCUCCUCCCCGGGUCGCCAGAGGGGUUGCCAAGACCCUGGACCCGGCAAGGCCAGGUGGAAGGGAGCAUCUUCCCAAGGAGUCUUGGGUUUCCUUCCCUGGGACCUCCCAGUCUCCAGCCCUGGGUGAGUCCUGCCAUCUGUGGGGGCUGAACCCCAUCCUGGAGUCUCCUUUCAUUGCCUUGUGACGUCACCAGAAGGGAGGGACGUCCCCAUCUAUGGAUGAGGAAGUGGAGCCCCACAAGCUCACCCACCCAGCCGUCUCAGAACAGGACGGUAGACUCCUUGGGGAUACCCGGCCCCGGGGCCCCAUGAAUCGUCUGCCCCAGGCGGAGGCAGGCAGGGUCCUUGGCGGCCCAGGACCCAGGCCUCUGGGGCUGCCCUGGGUCUGGUUUGCUCACUGCUCCAGCCCCCUCAUGCUCAGUGGCUGCUGAGGCCGAUGGAAGGAGACAUCCCCACCCCCACCCCUCUGGGCUGUGUGAGAAGCCGGGCCAGGAACCCUGUACACACCUCGGCUGGGGCACCUGGGGAACUGGCACAUGCCCAGCCUCCAGACAGCCACGGUCACGGGCAAUAGCACACGCCCAGGGCCCGUGCCGGGCCAGAGCGGGUGCUGCACCCCAGAUGUCUCUGUAGGCCCUGGGAGGAGCUUCCUUGACUAGAGCGUUGUGAUAUCCUAACUGAUCCUGGACCCCACAGAGCCUCGAUGAGCCCCAAAUUGGGGCUGAGGCCCAUCCCAGAGGAGGGGAUCUGAGCCCCCAGGGACGGGCCUCACUAGGCUGGCCUCCCGGCAUAGUCCCACCCUGGGGCCUGGUGGCCUACACGGCAUAAGAUUGGGGAGCUGAGGAAGCCCCAGCAUUUUACAAGUCCCCAAGGCUCAGUCUCCAGACUGUGUUGGGGACCAGCUGACACCAGCCUGGUGUGUGUGGCCUGCCCAGGCCCUCCUUCCCCGCAGAGGCCAGGUGGCCUUGGGAGUGUGGAGGAGAGAAUUUGGCUGGAGCCAAGAAAUUCAAAGGGGUGGGGCUGGAGGCUGGCAUUUAAACAUCUGGAACCUUCUGCAAAAUCGAGGUCCACUGGUGCGCCAGGCUUUGGGAACUAGCCCUCCCACCCCCAGUGGCGGAAGGCUGGGCAGGCAACGCAGGCCACGGGAGGGCUGCGGCCGGACCCGAGGGCAGGUCCUGCCCAUGGCCUGUUUCUUCAUGGGUGUCCUGAGGGCUCCACAUUGGCCCGGAUGGCCGAAGGUCGCCCUGGACCCCACCUGACCUCCUGGGCCAGUCCCUCCCCACAGCCCAUUCCUCCGGGCCCAGACUCCUUCUGUCCCCCCCACCGGCCAGGUCCUGCACACCGCCCCACCCCCACGUAUUCACACGUCCUGCCUUCAUCGGGGCUCUGCCGCCUGCCAGCCAGCAAGGCUCUGCCUCCCCAUCCUGCCCUCCCCAUCCGUCCUUCAGACUUCCUCCCACAUUACGGCCUGGUAUUCAUAGCAGCCAGAGCUAUGCGUCCUGACCGCCUGUCACCUGCCAUCUCCCCCACUGAAGCGGGCACCCCCUGAGGGCCGGGCGGGCCCUAGAAGCUCCCCUCUGGGAGCUGGGGACGUGGCACCAGGGGCUGCCCAGCGAGUGCUUGUGGAAAGUAGGAAAAUCUGAACGGACAGAAACACACAGAUCAGCAGACGUCAUUCACAGCCUCGCAAGGAUCCCAGUUAUCCCCGGUUCACCGACGAAGUGAGCUCAGAAAGGGUGAGUGACUUGUCCAAAGCUGCACAGCCUGGAAAUGGCAGAACUGAUUUGAAGCCGGGUCGAUGGGCCUUGAGCCCUGGGCCUCCCUCCGUGGACCCCCUGGGGCCCUGACAAGAUGCAGGUGGAGACACUGUGGCCCUCACAGCCAGCCUGACACAGAGAGGAAGAACAGAGAGACGCCGGGUCCUGCCCUGGGAGGAGGGCAGCCGGGCUGCUUCCUCUCCCGCCUGAGGGAGGAAGUCGUCCUCAUCAGGAACCCAUGGAGACAGGGGUUCAGAUACCAAGAGAGCAGACUGGGCCUGGGCCUGGGCGCGCUGAGACCGUGGAGGCCCCCGAGGGUCUUGGUCCGGGGCCGGCCGGGGGCAGGAGUGGACGGUGGCCCCAGGCCUGGCAGCCCCAAGAGGAAGACUGUGUUGGCUUCCCGGUGCUCGUGCCCCAAGCAGCGCCCUGAGGCGUUCCAGUGUUUACUCCGGCCCUGGAGGCUCUCCACGGCAGUUGAGGCUUCAGGGAUCAGAGGGACCCCAGAAGCCUGGGGCCAGCCCCGCGCCCCUCAGAGCUUGGGCUCGGUACCACGGUACCACGGGGAGGGUGGGGGGGAUGCCAGAGGGCAGGAAGGCCGGGCGGGGCCUUCUAGACAAGCCUCACCACCCCACCCUCUGCCGUCUCUGCUGUCUGUCCUGUGGCCCGUGCCCUCAGCCAUAAAGCAAGAAUCCCUCAUGUUUCCUGUCAUUGUCACUGAUCAUACUCAGUGCCGAUCACACUGAUCGCCUUCACUGAGCACUUACUUCGGCUGCUCUGAGGCCUGUUAUAAAGCCUCUCGCUUCACCUCACAACUCCUGGUUUUGCAGAUAAGGAAUACGAGGCCCAGAGAGGUUAUGCGACUCGUUGGUGGUCACACAGCUGACACGCUCCCCCGCGCCCAGCCCCAGGCCUGGAUCACAGCAGGGAAAAGACAGCCAUAGAAGGAAUUUCGAGGAAAAGCAACAUGCCAUCCUCUCCUCCCUGUCCCUGUCCCCUCUCCACCAGGCCUCCAUGUCCCUUCCCCGUGGAAUCCACCCCCGGUUUGGGUGCCCUAUCCUUGCCACCUCUGUGGCCUUUGCGUCUGUCGCCCCCGCUGCCUCUUGUCUCAGAGGACCUGGGCCACCCCCUGCAGGCCCCUGUCACCUCGUCCUCCUCCCAGCCCGCCCACCCCACCCUGUCUUCAGGACUGCUUCUCUUCCUUGUCUGUUAGAUUCCAGGCACAUCCCAGCUCACCUUGCGGACACUUCCAGGCUGUGACAGUCAGCUUGCAGGUGGAAAAUCAGUCAUCACGUCGAACGCUCGUGGUGAUCCGUGAACCCGGGAACCAGCAACUGUAAAACAGGAUCAUCUUCUGUCCUUGGUUUUAGCCUCCCUGGGCUCCCCGCUGCAAGGUCACAAGAUGUCCGGGCACGGAGACAUGCCUUCCUGUACCCCCAUGGGAGACACCACCCUACACCCCCAGACAGGAGCUCAGAGAGGUGAAGGGACUUGCCCAAGGGCACACAGCUCAUUGGUGGUUGUAGCAGAGACUGCUCACUGUCCUCCAGGUUCCUGUCCCCACCCCACCACCUCCAGCGGUCCAAGGGAUUAGAACCCCUGCUACGUUACCUGGGCAUUUGCUGCUUGGAAUCAAGAUACCUCCCAGUCUCCAUUAUACUUAGGUGUGCCAUGUGACUAAAUUUUGGCCUGGAUGUAAAAAUAGUGUUUGACAUUAGGAAAGGUUCUUAAAGGGCAAGACACACCCUACUCCCCUUUCUCCUUCUGCUGCCUGUAAUGCAGAUCUAAUGGCAGGAGCGUUAGCAGCCAUUUUGGACCAUGAGGUGAUGAUGUUGGAAAUGAAGACUGCACGGCAGAGCCACAGUAUACAAGGAGCUCAGGGUCCUGGCACUGUGACACUGCUGGCUGCACGAGCCCCGGCCACCUGUAAACGUCUUGAGAGUGCAAGAAAACGAAACUUUCAUCUUUCUCAGCCA